rnacentral:rRNA from 1 species
AGAGCGAACGCUGGCGGCAGGCCUAACACAUGCAAGUCGAACGGACCCUUCGGGGUUAGUGGCGGACGGGUGAGUAACACGUGGGAACGUGCCUUUAGGUUCGGAAUAGCUCCUGGAAACGGGUGGUAAUGCCGAAUGUGCCCUUCGGGGGAAAGAUUUAUCGCCUUUAGAGCGGCCCGCGUCUGAUUAGCUUGUUGGUGGGGUAAUGGCCCACCAAGGCUACGAUCAGUAGCUGGUCUGAGAGGAUGACCAGCCACAUUGGGACUGAGACACGGCCCAAACUCCUACGGGAGGCAGCAGUGGGGAAUCUUGCGCAAUGGGCGAAAGCCUGACGCAGCCAUGCCGCGUGUAUGAUGAAGGUCUUAGGAUUGUAAAAUACUUUCACCGGUGAAGAUAAUGACUGUAGCCGGAGAAGAAGCCCCGGCUAACUUCGUGCCAGCAGCCGC